CUGAAAGUCAGAUGACAAUAUAUCUGACCUCCUGUUCUGCUGCUGGAUCUAGUAAUCUGCCGGACUCAAUAGUCCAGCAGUUACUCUGUGAUGUAUUGAGCUUAGGGGCUGAACUUCACUAAAAAGAUCAGUUAAGGGAUUUCCUCCGCAUUCUCUGGUUUCCCCCCACAAAUCAAAGAUUCACGAGUUGGGAUAAUUCCACAUAACUGGAAGUAAGGGCACCAAACAGCAAAACAUGGACACAACCACAACAAUGUAACCCAGUGGAGGAGCUGGGCCCUUCUUGGUCAAAAUGCAUGUUAUUGAGUUCAUGUAAGACAGUGAGAAGAGACUAAAGAUACGGUCACUUAAUUUAACAUUCCUAGCACUAGAGCAGAUACUGUCACUUUGAGGUGACACCUGUUUGUAGCUAACCACCAUACACAAAUGGCAGGACAAUUUGUUCAACAUCUCCUCAACCUGUGGCUUCUACCAGUGAAAAGAACAUGGGGAGCAGG